rnacentral:rRNA from 1 species
UACGUAGGGUCCAAGCGUUAAUCGGAAUUACUGGGCGUAAAGGGUGCGCAGGUGGUUGAUUAAGUGUGAUGUGAAAGCCCCGGGCUCAACCUGGGAAUUGCAUUGCAAACUGGUUAACUAGAGUAUGGCAGAGGGGGGUGGAAUUCCGCGUGUAGCAGUGAAAUGCGUAGAGAUGCGGAGGAACACCGAUGGCGAAGGCAACCCCCUGGGCUAAUACUGACACUCAUGCACGAAAGCGUGGGGAGCAAACAGG